AUGCCCUGGUUCGAUCCGAAUCGCAGCAUCAUGUUCGGGCCGGACAUCUGCGGGUACGCCACCAAGAAGGUGCACGCGAUCCUCACCAAGAACGGCAAGAACCAUCUGAUCAAGAAGGAGGUGCCCUGCGAGACGGACCAGCUCACGCACGUCUACACCUUGAUCCUCCGGCCCGACGCCACGUACAGCAUCCUCAUCGACAACGUCGAGAAGCAGUCCGGCAGCGUCUACGAUGACUGGGACAUCCUUCCUGCCAAGAAGAAGAGGGAUCCUAAUGCCAAGAAGCCAGAGGACUGGGAGGACGAGGAGUUCCUUCCUGACCCCGAGGACAAGAAGCCAGAGGGGUAUGAUGACAUUCCCAAGGAAAUCACUGAACCUGAUGCAACGAAGCCUGAGGACUGGGAUGAUGAGGAAGAUGGUGAAUGGACAGCUCCAACCAUCCCAAACCCUGAGUACAAGGGACCAUGGAUCCAAAAGAAAAUCAAGAACCCUAAUUUCAAGGGCAAAUGGAAGGCACCUUUGAUCGACAACCCAGAGUACAAGGAUGAUCCUUACAUCUACGCUUUUGACAGCCUGAAGCACAUUGGUAUUGAGCUGUGGCAGGUUAAAUCAGGAACUCUGUUCGACAACAUCCUGAUCACUGAUGACCCCGAGUACGCCAAGAAGUUCGCGGAGGAGACCUGGGGCAAGCACAAGGAUGCUGAGAAGGCUGCCUUUGAUGAGGCCGAGAAGAGGAGGCUUGAGGAGGAAUCCGCAAAUGCUAAGACCGAAGACAAUGAUGAUGCAGCUGAUGAGGAUGAGGGCAAAGCUGCCGGCGCCAGCGAUGAGGAGAACAAGGAUGCCUCCGGGGAUGAGGAAAUUAGCAAGGAUGCUUCUUCUUCUUCCGACAAGAAGGACGAGCUUUAG
rnacentral:rRNA from 1 species